GCUACGGGUGGCAGCAGUGGGGGAUAUUGGACAAUGGGGGAAACCCUGAUCCAGCGACGCCGCGUGAGUGAAGGAGUAUUUCGGUAUGUAAAGCUCUGUCAGCAGGGAAGAAAGAAAUGACGGUACCUGACCAAGAAGCCCCGGCUAACUACGUGCCAGCAGCCGCGGUAAUAGGUAGGGGGCAAGCGGUAUCCGGAAUUACUGGGUGUAAAGGGAGCGAAGACGGUGAUGGAAGUCUGGAGUGAAGGGCUGGGGCCCAACCCCCGGACUGCUCUGGAAACGGUGUAACUUUAGUGCAGGAGAGUUAAGCGGAAUUCCUAGUGUAGCGGUGAAAUGCGUAGAUAUUAGGAGGAACACCAGUGGCGAAGGCGGCUUACUGGACUGUAACUGACGUUGAGGCUCGAAAGCGUGGGGAGCAAACAGGAUUAGAUACCCUGGUAGUC
rnacentral:rRNA from 1 species